CAUGUUGUAAACACACCGCAUGCGUUCCUUUAAUUUUUCUUUUGGUUAAUAAAAACUGUUCGAUAUGCAAACAAGUUGACAUUUACAUUUACGCUUGACGUGUUUGAAACUUUGAUUAAAAUCUUUCUUCUGCGAGCACACCAAGUCAUACUUCCUCAACUUUGCUGACGAUAUUCGUCCAUUCGACGAUGAUGAAACAGUAAAUGCGAAAUCGGUUGAUUAAAGCCCCGUUGAUUAAAUUUCAUCUAUAAUCAACGGCAAGGCUAUAAUCAAUGGCACGAAAUGACGUCAUCAACUGCCGAACCGGGACUACUUUUUCCCACGCACCUCGUCACCUGUAUUUGCCAAGUGCAUCAAUAAUAAAAACAAUCUCAAAUGUUUGUCAAUCUUAAUGACCUUAAAACAAAGGAAAGUAGC